ACUGGGAGUUUCAGGACAAAUUAUCCACACAAGUAUUAUGAGAAACAUAAGCAUAUUAUGACAUCAGUUUGCAUAAUAUAAUACUGUAAAUAUUUGUUAAUAGUUCACUGACCUCUCACUUGUAAUGUCAUUGAUAAAAGAUAAACAAUUGUGUUCAUAAAUGGUCUGACUUCAUAGAAAUGUAAUGGGUUUAGAAGACUAUAAGAGCUGGGUGUUUGUCUUUCUGUCUAAACCACAUAACCACCUGAUGCUCUUAUUUGUAAACAAAAAGUGAAAGCGUCAUAUUGAAAGUAAAACUAUGGUCCCUCUAUUACUAUAAUAGCCCCAUUUACAAGAAAUGGCUAGAGAAAUAGAAGAGCUAGACAGUCCUCCUCACUUGAAUUUCACUUUCUACUGUGCAGGUAUAAAUAGGUGCUGGUGAAAUCUUUUUAUCAGAACUAUAUCAGAAUCUCAGCCUCAGGAGGAACUAGUACCAACAAGAAAAGCAAACAUGGGUGGAGAAGAAUCAACCCCAUCACCACCCCCAUCACCACCCCCACCAAAGGAAUUUGACCAACAAUGGAGGAAAACAUGUUGGAGGUAAGUACUGUACUGACUGACCGAUAUGAAGGAGAAAGAGAGAAAGUAAAACAAACGUUUAGGUUAUAAUUACAAUCACUAUCAUGGGUUGUGUGAAUGGUGUGCUAUACUAAAUUGCUGAUAUCAGUUUUCCCACCAUCUUAAAUUAGUCCUGGUGUUAUCUUGAUACAAUUUCCCUG
rnacentral:lncRNA from 1 species